UACGUAGGGUGCAAGCGUUAAUCGGAAUUACUGGGCGUAAAGCGUGCGCAGGCGGUUUUGUAAGACCGAUGUGAAAUCCCCGGGCUCAACCUGGGAACUGCAUUGGUGACUGCAAGGCUUGAGUGUGUCAGAGGGAGGUGGAAUUCCGCGUGUAGCAGUGAAAUGCGUAGAUAUGCGGAGGAACACCGAUGGCGAAGGCAGCCUCCUGGGAUAACACUGACGCUCAUGCACGAAAGCGUGGGGAGCAAACAGG
rnacentral:rRNA from 1 species